rnacentral:rRNA from 1 species
AGCGAACGCUGGCGGUAGGCCUAACACAUGCAAGUCGAACGGCAGCAACGUAAGAGCUUGCUCUUACGGGUGGCGAGUGGCGGAUGGGUGAGGAAUACAUCGGAAUCUACUUUUUCGUGGGGGAUAACGUAGGGAAACUUACGCUAAUACAUCAUACGACCUACGGGUGAAAGCAGGCGAUCAUCGGACCUUGCGCGAUUGAAUGAGCCGAUGUCGGAUUAGCUAGUCGGCGGGGUAAAGGCCCACCAAGGCGACGAUCCGUAGCUCGUCUGAGAGGAUGAUCCGACACAGUGGAACUGAGACGCGGUGCAGACUCCUGCGGGAGGCAUGAGGGGGUAUUGAUGGACAAUAGGCGCAAGCCUGAUCCAGCAAUACCGCGUGGGGGAAAAAGGCCUUCGGGUUGUAAAGCACUUUUGUUAGGAAAGAAAAGCAGCAGGUAAAUUCCCCGCUGUUCUGACGAUACCCAAGUAAUAAACGCCGGCUAAGUUCGUG